rnacentral:rRNA from 1 species
AGAGUUUGAUCAUGGCUCAGGAUGAACGCUAGCUACAGGCUUAACACAUGCAAGUCGAGGGGAAACGACAUCGAAAGCUUGCUUUUGAUGGGCGUCGACCGGCGCACGGGUGAGUAACGCGUAUCCAACCUGCCCACCACUUGGGGAUAACCUUGCGAAAGUAAGACUAAUACCCAAUGACGUCUCUAGAAGACAUCUGAAGGAGAUUAAAGAUUUAUCGGUGAUGGAUGGGGAUGCGUCUGAUUAGCUUGUUGGCGGGGUAACGCCACCAAGGCGACGAUCAGGUAGGGUUCUGAGAGAAGGUCCCCANAUUGGAACUGAGACACGGUCCAAACUCCGUACGGGAGGCA